rnacentral:tRNA from 1 species
GCCCCUCUGGUCAAAUUGGCAAAGGCGCCGCACUCAGACUGCGGAGAUUUUCCCGGUUCGAAUCCGGGGAGGGGUACAA